GACAGAGGCCUCGAGCGUUAGGCGGAAUCACUGGGCUUAAAGCGUGUGUAGGCGGAUGCCUAAGUACCUUGUGAAAUCCCACGGCUCACCCGUGGAACCGCUGGGUAUACUGGGUGUCUUGGGCCAUUCAGGGGCGACUGGAACAAGCGGUGGAGCGGUGAAAUGCGUAGAUAUCGCUUGGAACGCCGAAGGUGAAAACAGGUCGCUGGGGAUGUGCCGACGCUUAGACACGAAAGCCAGGGGAGCAAACGGG
rnacentral:rRNA from 1 species